rnacentral:rRNA from 1 species
UAGGGAAUCUUCCGCAAUGGGCGAAAGCCUGACGGAGCAACGCCGCGUGAGUGAUGAAGGUCUUCGGAUCGUAAAACUCUGUUAUUAGGGAAGAACAAAUGUGUAAGUAACUAUGCACGUCUUGACGGUACCUAAUCAGAAAGCCACGGCUAACUACGUGCCAGCAGCCGCGGUAAUACGUAGGUGGCAAGCGUUAUCCGGAAUUAUUGGGCGUAAAGCGCGCGUAGGCGGUUUUUUAAGUCUAAUGUGAAAGCCCGCGGCUCAACCGUGGAGGGUCAUUAGAAACUGGAAAGCUUGAGUGCAGAAGAGGAAAGUGGAAUUCCAUGUGUAGCGGUGAAAUGCGCAGAGAUAUGGAGGAACACCAGUGGCGAAGGCGACUUUCUGGUCUGUAACUGACGCUGAUAUGCGAAAGCGUGGGGAUCAAACAGG